rnacentral:rRNA from 1 species
GACGAACGCUGGCGGCGUGCUUAACACAUGCAAGUCGAACGGUGAAGCUCCAGCUUGCUGGAGUGGAUCAGUGGCGAACGGGUGAGUAACACGUGAGCAACCUGCCCCUGACUCUGGAAUAAGCGCUGGAAACGGCGACUAAUACUGGAUACGAGAAGGGUCCGCAUGGGCACUUUCUGGAAAGUUUUUCGGUUGGGGAUGGGCUCGCGGCCUAUCAGCUUGUUGGUGAGGUAAUGGCUCACCAAGGCGACGACGGGUAGCCGGCCUGAGAGGGCGACCGGCCACACUGGGACUGAGACACGGCCCAGACUCCUACGGGAGGCAGCAGUGGGGAAUAUUGCACAAUGGGCGAAAGCCUGAUGCAGCGACGCCGCGUGAGGGAUGACGGCCUUCGGGUUGUAAACCUCUUUCAGCAGGGAAGAAGCGAAAGUGACGGUACCUGCAGAAGAAGCACCGGCUAACUACGUG